rnacentral:rRNA from 1 species
CAGUCGUACCGGCGGAUAAUCAGCCUUUCGGGUGCGAUUCUGUGGGGCGUGAGGAGCUUAACCGCCUUUCAUGUUUUGCAUAUUCGUGCACAUUUGGUGUACUUGUCCGUGUGGUGGGUUAACAUCAAUUUCGGUCGUCAUAAAAUGAUUGGAGGAAUGUAGCUUUGAUCUCGUAUCGAAAAAGUCACCAAGAGAUCCCC